UACGGAGGGUGCAAGCGUUAUCCGGAUUUACUGGGUUUAAAGGGUGUGUAGGCGGGCAUUUAAGUCUGGGGUGAAAUCUCCGAGCUCAACUCGGAAACUGCCUUGGAUACUAUUUGUCUUGAAUUAUGUUGAGGUUGGCGGAAUAUAACAUGUAGCGGUGAAAUGCAUAGAUAUGUUAUAGAACACCGAUUGCGAAGGCAGCUAACUAAGCAAUAUAUUGACGCUGAGGCACGAAAGCGUGGGGAUCAAACAGGA
rnacentral:rRNA from 1 species